rnacentral:rRNA from 1 species
AUUGAACGCUGGCGGCAGGCCUAACACAUGCAAGUCGAACGCGUGGCGGACGUGUGAGUAAUGCUUGGGACUCUGGCUUAUGGAGGGGUAUAACGACGGGAAACUGUCUCUAAUACCGCGUACCCUAGGAUGCGCCCAAGUGGGUUUAGGUAGUUGGUGGGGUAAUGGCCUACCAAGCCGGCGCUCUCUAGCUGGUCUGAGAGGAUGACCAGCCACACCGGGACUGAGACACGGCCCGGACUCCUACGGGAGGCAGCAGUGGGGAAUAUGGCGCAAUGGGGGCAACCUGACGCAGCCAUGCCGCGUGAAUGAAGAAGGCCUUCGGGUUGUAAAGUUCUUUCGGUGAGGAGGCGUUAAUCACAGAAGAAGCACCGGCUAACUCCGUGCCAGCAGCCGCGGUAAUUC